rnacentral:sRNA from 1 species
AGACAAGAAUGAGAAAGAGAAAAUAUCCCUUUAUAAAAAGAACAUCUGAAAUUGACUUAAAGAAAAAAUCGUAACAGGGAAAAUGUUCAUUAGGCCAUGAAUUCAUCCUUCAGGUUACCCAGACUGUGCUCUGGCAGACAGCAAACGGGUUCUCAAGGUGUUGAUGUGUAGGACCUAGAGGUGAAAUAUGGUUUUUCCUGUACAUAAUGGUACAACUGUUGCUCUAAUUCUUCUCAAAAUUCUCCCAAGACAAGUUUCAUUAAUGGCCUUAUAAUGAAAAAUUCUUUAAGUAUUCCAAUAGUGCUAGUAUUCUGAAAAAAAAAAAACUUUGAUCAAGAAUUAUUCACAUGAAACUUUCUAAGUAUAGCAUUGAAACAGUAAUUUAUUUAAGAGCCAAAUAUUAAGGUUUGGCCAAAGCUCACCUUCACAUCUCAUUUUAAAAUGUAAAAAUUACUUCCUUUUAUGCCAAUGAAUAAAGCAGGUAUUUCUCAGCAAAUCUGAUUUGUGAAAUUUGUGGAGGCUAUUUAAAGAAUUCAUUUUAGAUAUGCAGCACAGAUUUCAUUUCUUAAAGCAAAUUACUAUAGGAUGAUGAGUGAACAGACUUUGGCAUAGUCACUAAAGCAUACUAUUAGAAUAUUCAUCAUAAGGCUACUUGCUUCAUGGACUAAUGAAAGGACACCACUGGCUACAGACUCAACAUGAUUUUAGCAAAUGAGAAACUAAAGAAUUAUACAUAUGAUGGUGAUGUUUGCCUACAAUUAAGGGAAAAAAAUCAUGCAACCUUUGCUUGAUUCCCCAUGUUUAAUUAACAAAUAUUCUGGCUGGCCUUCACUGUGGUGUGAGUAUAAUUAAUCUUCCACCUUUACCAUUAUGCACCAGCUGUGAAGGGCUAAGGAGACUUACUUUCAAAGUCCAAGAAAAAAUGUGCUGCAUUGUGGUCUAUGUCCCUGGUUAGCACCUUAAUGAGAUUACCCAUGCCAGCAAACCUAAAAA